rnacentral:rRNA from 1 species
GUGUGGUCAACUCCGGUUGAUCCUGCCGGACCCUACCGCUAUCGGGAUGGGAUUAAGACAUGUUAGUCGUGCGCUUCCUAGCCAUGAUGGAGGCGCGGCGCACAGCUCAGUAUCACGUGGCUAACCUAACCUUAGGACGGGGGCACCCCCGGGAAACUGGGGCUAAUUUCCGAUAGGUGAAGAUUCCUGGAAUGGAUUUUUGCCUAAAGGGCACUUGGGUCAUGCUUCCAGGUGUUGCCUAAGGAUGGGGCCGCGGCCGAUCAGGUUGUUGGUGAGGUAAUGGCCCACCAAGCCUUUUACCGGUGCGGGCCGUGGGAGCGGGAGCCCGGAGAUGGGCACUGAGACAAGGGCCCAGGCCCUACGGGGCGCAGCAGUCGCGAAAAUUUCGCAAUAAGCGAAAGCUUGACGGAGCUAUCCCGAGUGCCAUCCGCUGAGGAUGGCUUUUCUCUAGUAUAGAUAGCUGGGGGAAUAAGGAGAGGGCAAGUCUGGUGUCAGCCGCCGCGGUAAUACCAGCUCUCCGAGUGGUGGGGAUGAUUAUUGGGCCUAAAGCAUCCGUAGCC